rnacentral:rRNA from 1 species
AGUGAACGCUGGCGGUAGGCCUAACACAUGCAAGUCGAACGGCAGCACAGUAAGAGCUUGCUCUUACGGGUGGCGAGUGGCGGACGGGUGAGGAAUACAUCGGAAUCUACUUUUUCGUGGGGGAUAACGUAGGGAAACUUACGCUAAUACCGCAUACGACCUACGGGUGAAAGCAGGGGAUCUUCGGACCUUGCGCGAUUGAAUGAGCCGAUGUCGGAUUAACUAGUUGGCGGGGUAAAGGCCCACCAAGGCGACGAUCCGUAGCUGGUCUGAGAGGAUGAUCAGCCACACUGGAACUGAGACACGGUCCAGACUCCUACGGGAGGCAGCAGUGGGGAAUAUUGGACAAUGGGCGCAAGCCUGAUCCAGCCAUACCGCGUGGGUGAAGAAGGCCUUCGGGUUGUAAAGCCCUUUUGUUGGGAAAGAAAAGCAGCAGGUUAAUACCCCGCUGUUCUGACGGUACCCAAAGAAUAAGCACCGGCUAACUACGUG